rnacentral:rRNA from 1 species
GACGAACGCUGGCGGCGUGCCUAAUACAUGCAAGUAGAACGCUGAAGGCGGAGCUUGCUUCUCUGGAUGAGUUGCGAACGGGUGAGUAACGCGUAGGUAACCUGCCUGGUAGCGGGGGAUAACUAUUGGAAACGAUAGCUAAUACCGCAUAAGAGUAGAUGUUGCAUGACAUUUGCUUAAAAGGUGCAAUUGCAUCACUACCAGAUGGACCUGCGUUGUAUUAGCUAGUUGGUGGGGUAACGGCUCACCAAGGCGGCGAUACAUAGCCGACCUGAGAGGGGGAUCAGCCACCCUGGGACGGAGACACGGCACAGACUCCCACGGGAGGCAGCAGUAGGGAAUCGUCGGCAAGGGACGGAAGUCUGACCGAGCAACGCCGCGUGCGUGAAGAAGGUUUUCGGAUCGUAAAGCUCUGUUGUAAGAGAAGAACGAGUGUGAGAGUGGAAAGUUCACACUGUGACGGUAUCUUACAAGAAAGGGACGGCUAACUACGUG